rnacentral:SRP_RNA from 1 species
GCCGGGCGUGGUGGCUCACGCCUGUAAUCCCAGCUUCUGGGGAGGCCGAGGUGGGCGGAUCACCUGAGGUCAGGAGUUUGAGACCAGCCUGGCCAACGUGGUGAAACCCCGUCUCAA